GUCGUGAGAUGUUGGGUUAAGUCCCGCAACGAGCGCAACCCUCGUCCCUAGUUACCAGCGGGUUAUGCCGGGCACUCUAGGGAGACUGCCGGUGUCAAACCGGAGGAAGGUGGGGAUGACGUCAAGUCAUCAUGGCCCUUACGUCCAGGGCGACACACGUGCUACAAUGGCCGGUACAGAGCGUCGCCAACCCGCGAGGGUGCGCUAAUCGCUAAAAGCCGGUCUAAGUUCGGAUUGCAGUCUGCAACUCGACUGCAUGAAGCCGGAAUCGCUAGUAAUCGCGGAUCAGCCACGCCGCGGUGAAUACGUUCCCGGGCCUUGUACACACCGCCCGUCACGCCAUGGAAGCUGGGGGGACCUGAAGCCGGUGGGCUAACUCGCAAGAGAGGCAGCCGUCAAAGGUCAAUUCAGUGACUGGGGCGAAGUCGUAACAAGGUAGCCGUAGGGGAACCUGCGGCUGGAUCACCUCCUUUCUGGAGCGACGAGUACGCUCGGUGCUUGCACCGAGACGAAAGUCCUCAGAAGUCGCCCGCACUUCAUCGCUUUCUAGCUUGCAUCACUUCUUUUUGGCGGGCCCCGUGGGGUCCGCCCCGCUCUUUGACAAUCGACGAAUGGAUGGUUUGCCUGUUGGCGCACGGGUGCUCGCUUGCGAGGGCCCGGGUGUGAGCAGGCUGGGUGUGAGGAAUCAACACCGGUCGUGCCGGCUCGAUCGCAGGGCGGACACGACAUGAGAUUUGAGAUCAAACGCAAUAAGGCACACGGUGGAUGCCUUGGCAUCGAGAGGCGAUGAAGGGCGUGAUAAGCUGCGAUAAGCCUGGGGGAGCUGCACAUGAGCCGUGAUCCCAGGAUGC
rnacentral:sRNA from 1 species